rnacentral:rRNA from 1 species
AGAGCGAACGCUGGCGGCAGGCCUAACACAUGCAAGUCGAGCGCCCCGCAAGGGGAGCGGCAGACGGGAGAGUAACACGUGGGAACGUACCCUUCAGUUCGGAACAACCCAGGGAAACUUGGGCUAAUACCGAAUACGUCCGUAAGGAGAAAGAUUUAUCGCUGAAGGAUCGGCCCGCGUCUGAUUAGCUUGUUGGUGAGGUAACGGCUCACCAAGGCUACGAUCAGUAGCUGGUCUGAGAGGAUGAUCAGCCUCACUGGGACUGAGACACGGCCCAGACUCCUACGGGAGGCAGCAGUGGGGAAUAUUGGACAAUGGGCGCAAGCCUGAUCCAGCCAUGCCGCGUGGAUGAUGAAGGCCUUAGGGUUGUAAAGUCCUUUCGACGGGGAAGAUAAUGACGGUACCCGUAGAAGAAGCCCGGCUAACUUCGUGCCAGCAGCCGC